AGUCGUAACAAGGUUUCCGUAGGUGAACCUGCGGAAGGAUCAUUACCGAGUGAGGGCCCUCUGGGUCCAACCUCCCACCCGUGUUUAUUUUACCUUGUUGCUUCGGCGGGCCCGCCUUAACUGGCCGCCGGGGGGCUUACGCCCCCGGGCCCGCGCCCGCCGAAGACACCCUCGAACUCUGUCUGAAGAUUGUAGUCUGAGUGAAAAUAUAAAUUAUUUAAAACUUUCAACAACGGAUCUCUUGGUUCCGGCAUCGAUGAAGAACGCAGCGAAAUGCGAUACGUAAUGUGAAUUGCAAAUUCAGUGAAUCAUCGAGUCUUUGAACGCACAUUGCGCCCCCUGGUAUUCCGGGGGGCAUGCCUGUCCGAGCGUCAUUGCUGCCCUCAAGCACGGCUUGUGUGUUGGGCCCCGUCCUCCGAUCCCGGGGGACGGGCCCGAAAGGCAGCGGCGGCACCGCGUCCGGUCCUCGAGCGUAUGGGGCUUUGUCACCCGCUCUGUAGGCCCGGCCGGCGCUUGCCGAUCAACCCAAAUUUUUAUCCAGGUUGACCUCGGAUCAGGUAGGGAUACCCGCUGAACUUAAGCAUAUCAAUAA
rnacentral:misc_RNA from 1 species